rnacentral:rRNA from 1 species
CCUACGGGUGGCAGCAGUGAGGAAUAUUGGUCAAUGGCCGGAAGGCUGAACCAGCCACGUCGCGUGAGGGACGACUGCCCUAUGGGUUGUAAACCUCUUUUAUAAGGGAAGAAUAAAUGCUACGUGUAGCAUGAUGCCUGUACCUUAUGAAUAAGCAUCGGCUAGAUCCGUGCCAGCAGCAGCGGUAAUACGGAGGAUGCGAGAGUUAUCAGGAUUUAUUGGGGUUAAAGGGUGCGUAGGCGGUGUUUUAAGUUAGUGGUUAAACGUCGGGGCUUCACCUUGAUUUGCCAUUAAUACUGUCAGGCUUGAGUUCAGGCGAGGUAGGCGGAAUAAGUUAAGUAGCGGUGAAAUGCUUAGAUAUAA